rnacentral:rRNA from 1 species
AGUGAACGCUGGCGGUAGGCCUAACACAUGCAAGUCGAACGGCAGCACAGUAAGAGCUUGCUCUUACGGGUGGCGAGUGGCGGACGGGUGAGGAAUACAUCGGAAUCUACUUUUUCGUGGGGGAUAACGUAGGGAAACUUACGCUAAUACCGCAUACGACCUACGGGUGAAAGCAGGGGAUCUUCGGACCUUGCGCGACUGAAUGAGCCGAUGUCGGAUUCGCUAGUCGGCGGGGUAAAGGCCCACCAAGGCGAGGAUCCGUAGCUGGUCUGAGAGGAUGAUCAGCCACACUGGAACUGCGACACGGUCCAGACUCCUGCGGGAGGCAGCAGUGGGGAAUAUUGGACCAUGGGCGCAAGCCUGAUCCCGCCAUACCGCGUGGGUGAAGAAGGCCUUCGGGUUGUAAAGCCCUUUUGUUGGGAAAGAAAAGCAGCAGGUUAAUACCCCGCUGUUCUGACGGUACCCAAAGAAUAAGCACCGGCUAACUUCGUG